rnacentral:rRNA from 1 species
AUGAGUAGGCUCUCGUUCCGGCCGCGGCCGCUCGACAUCCACAAGAAGCUCCCAAUCCUCAAGUCGGCGCGGGACUUCGAGGACGAUGACCCCACGGUGGCAGCGUUCGCCGCGGCAAGGGUAGGGGUUCUGCUGCGGCACUCCGGCUCGGAGCUCACUGCCGCUGCUGCUGCGACUGACGGCGAGCUUUAUUCCAUGCCGAAGGACCAUGUCGUGUCUGCUUCGGGAAAUUCAACUCCCAGUAAGAAGAAUGCUCAAGAGAUACCAACACCACAGUUUGAUGAUGUGGAGACCUAUGAUAGGGAUUACACUCGCACCUUUGCACAACCAUCAUGUUAUAUACGAGGAAGAGGAGCCAGAGCUGAGAUCGGUGAAUUUGUUGAGUAUGACUUGGAUAACGAAGAUGAAGACUGGCUUGACGACUACAACAAUGAGCGGAAAAAUCUUAACCCUGAAAAGUUGGAGGUCCUCUUAUUCAAGUUGGAAAUUUUGGACCACAAAGCUCGAGAAAGAGCAGGAGCCAUAACACCAACUUUCAUAGGACCUGUUCCAGUUCUCUUGCAGCUCGAUGUUGCUAUGGAGGCUUUGCAGUAUUUAUCUGUUCGGUAUGCUGUUUUCCAAGCUGUAUAUAACUAUUGGAGAGCUAAGAGGGAACGGUGGCAAAAGCCUAUUCUGCGGCGUUUGCAGCCUCCUCCGCCGGUGAAUGAUACAAACCCAUAUAAUGUAUUCAGACCAAGAGAAAAGGCCCAUCGUCUUCAUACAAGAAGGAUGCAAAGACGAGAAAAUAAUAUCCAGUCGUUUGAAAAACUCCGCCUGGUACGGCGCAAUUUGGACCAAGCAAAGGCAUUAAUGGGGGCUCUAAUUAAGAGGGAAGAGACAAAGCGGGAGGUCAUGGAAUGUGAGGUCAACCUUCAGCGCGUUCAGAUGCAAUAUAAGCAUGAGGCCCAGCUUGUUGACGAUGGGACUACACUGUCAGGGUUCCAGCAAGCUUCUAGCAGGUUUGGGUCAAGUGAUGAUGAUUAUGCGGAUUCAGAUGACACCGCAACUGAAGAGCCAUAUUUUCGGCAACCUGUUCUCCAUCAUCGGUAUCCUGAUAACAAGCAGUUGGCAAUCCCUACAUUGCGUAUAAAGCGUGAGCCGGGGCUACCGGUGCUAAAAAGGAGGCCUCAGCAGAAUGGCUGGGUAUUUAAAAGGGAUCCUGAGGAGCCAGUAUUGUUAUUCACAAGGCCGCUAGAUCCUGACAAGUUGGUGGCAGCGGGUAUCAAGUUGCCACCAGACCCCCCUAUUGAGAUUGAUGCCACCGUGCCACCAUUUCGGUGCCGAGGGAGAAUUGGCCGAGGUGGACGCAUCAUCUUUGAUCGAUGGAAUCCUCUUCUCCGAACACCAACAUCAAUUGGCCAGGAAACCGCCCAUUUCACACCAUAUGGCCGUAGGCCGCCCUCACCGGAAGGUUGA